CUACGGGUCGCACCAGUGGGGAAUAUUGCACAACGGGGGGAACCCUGAUGCAGCAACGCCGCGUGGAGGAUGACGCAUUUCGGUGUGUAAACUCCUUUUAUAUGUCAAGAAAAUGACGGUAGCAUAUGAAUAAGCACCGGCUAACUCCGUGCCAGCAGCCGCGGUAAUACGGAGGGUGCAAGCGUUACUCGGAAUCACUGGGCGUAAAGGACGCGUAGGCGGGUUGGAAAGUCAGGUGUGAAAUCCUACAGCUUAACUGUAGAACUGCACUUGAAACUUCUAAUCUAGAGUAUGGGAGGGGGAGAUGGAAUUAGUGGUGUAGGGGUAAAAUCCGUAGAUAUCACUAGGAAUACCUAAAGCGAAGGCGAUCUCCUGGAACAUUACUGACGCUAAGGCGUGAAAGCGUGGGGAGCAAACAGGAUUAGAUACCCUCGUAGUC
rnacentral:rRNA from 1 species